UACGUAGGGGCCUAGCGUUGUCCGGAAUUAUUGGGCGUAAAGAGCUCGUAGGCGGUUCGGCAAGUCGGAUGUGAAAUCUCCACGCUUAACGUGGAGGGGCCAUUCGAAACUGCUGUGACUCGAGUCCGAUAGAGGUGGGUGGAAUUCCUAGUGUAGAGGUGAAAUUCGUAGAUAUUAGGAAGAACACCGGUGGCGAAGGCGGCCCACUGGAUCGGUACUGACGCUGAGGUGCGAAAGCGUGGGGAGCAAACAGG
rnacentral:rRNA from 1 species